GACGAACGCUGGCGGCGUGCUUAACACAUGCAAGUCGAGCGGUAAGGCCUCUUCGGGGGUACACGAGCGGCGAACGGGUGAGUAACACGUGGGUGACCUGCCCUCAGCUCUGGGAUAAGCCUGGGAAACUGGGUCUAAUACCGGAUAUGACCUUUCCUCGCAUGGGGGUUGGUGGAAAGUUUUUUCGGCUGGGGAUGGGCCCGCGGCCUAUCAGCUUGUUGGUGGGGUGAUGGCCUACCAAGGCGACGACGGGUAGCCGGCCUGGGAGGGCGACCGGCCACGCUGGGACUGAGACACGGCCCAGACUCCUACGGGAGGCAGCAGUGGGGAAUAUUGCGCAAUGGGCGGAAGCCUGACGCAGCGACGCCGCGUGGGGGAUGACGGCCUUCGGGUUGUAAACCUCUUUCGACCCCGACGAAUUUGGACGGUAGGGGUAGAAGAAGCACCGGCCAACUACGUG
rnacentral:rRNA from 1 species